rnacentral:rRNA from 1 species
AUCGGGCUACCAUGCAAGUCGAGCGGUAAGGCCCUUCGGGGUACACGAGCGGCGAACGGGUGAGUAACACGUGGGUGAUCUGCCCUGCACUUCGGGAUAAGCCUGGGAAACUGGGUCUAAUACCGGAUAUGACCUUCGGCUGCAUGGCUGAGGGUGGAAAGGUUUACUGGUGCAGGAUGGGCCCGCGGCCUAUCAGCUUGUUGGUGGGGUAAUGGCCUACCAAGGCGACGACGGGUAGCCGACCUGAGAGGGUGACCGGCCACACUGGGACUGAGACACGGCCCAGACUCCUACGGGAGGCAGCAGUGGGGAAUAUUGCACAAUGGGCGAAAGCCUGAUGCAGCGACGCCGCGUGAGGGAUGACGGCCUUCGGGUUGUAAACCUCUUUCAGCAGGGACGAAGCGAAAGUGACGGUACCUGCAGAAGAAGCACCGGCCAACUACGUGCCAGCAGCCGCGGUAAUACGUAGGGUGCAAGCGUUGUCCGGAAUUACUGGGCGUAAAGAGCUCGUAGGCGGUUUGUCGCGUCGUCUGUGAAAACUCGAGGCUCAACCUCGAGCUUGCAGGCGAUACGGGCAGACUUGAGUACUGCAGGGGAGACUGGAAUUCCUGGUGUAGCGGUGAAAUGCGCAGAUAUCAGGAGGAACACCGGUGGCGAAGGCGGGUCUCUGGGCAGUAACUGACGCUGAGGAACGAAAGCGUGGGUAGCGAACAGGAUUAGAUACCCUGGUAGUCCACGCCGUAAACGGUGGGCGCUAGGUGUGGGUUUCCUUCCACGGAAUCCGUGCCGUACCUAACGCAUUAAGCGCCCCGCCUGGGGAGUACGGCCGCAAGGCUAAAACUCAAAGGAA